rnacentral:rRNA from 1 species
UACGUAGGGUGCAAGCGUUAAUCGGAAUUACUGGGCGUAAAGCGUGCGCAGGCGGUUUCGUAAGUCUGUCGUGAAAUCCCCGGGCUUAACCUGAGAAUGGCGAUGGAGACUGCGAGGCUAGAGUUUGGCAGAGGGGGGUAGAAUUCCACGUGUAGCAGUGAAAUGCGUAGAGAUGUGGAGGAACACCGAUGGCGAAGGCAGCCCCCUGGGUCAAAACUGACGCUCAUGCACGAAAGCGUGGGGAGCAAACAGG